GGCAAUACUAUAGGCACAUCUGACUGUGUCUCUCUCUUUUAGUGCAAGAAACUCAUCUUUAAAAAAAUACAUAAAAAAUUACAAAAUAACAAAAAACAUCUUUUUUUAGGGGAGAGUUUUCGUAAGUAUUAAUGAAUAUUUAAGUUGUACGUGUCUGAUAUUUCUUAAUACCAGUAGCAUUAAUUUAUAUUUUUGUAGCAACAUGGUAUUUUUACAAACAAUCAGUGCUUGGCUCAGAUCUCCACGAGGGCUUCAUGCAGGGUUGUCCUGGGAGCCUGUGUACCUUGUACUGUAUUUUUUAAAAGGUUACCUAGUGUUGCCCCUGCUGUAGCAGCUGAGCUUGUUCACACUCGUGUGUCAAGUUGGUGUGGCUGCAACAGUCCUCCAAAGAGUCACAUUGCAUGGGGCUGGAGUUGACGGUUCUUCUGAUACGUAGACCCUGAUCAGACCUGAGGGUUUAUUUAG
rnacentral:lncRNA from 1 species